rnacentral:rRNA from 11 species
AGCUACGGCCAUAUCUAGCAGUCAGCACCGUUUCCCGUCCGAUCAACAGUAGUGAAUCUGCUAAGAGCCUGACCGAGUAGUGUAGUGGGAGACCAUACGCGAAACUCAGGUGCUGUAGUUU